rnacentral:rRNA from 1 species
ACUAAGCGUACACGGUGGAUGCCCUGGCAGUCAGAGGCGAUGAAGGACGUGCUAAUCUGCGAUAAGCGUCGGUAAGGUGAUAUGAACCGUUAUAACCGGCGAUUUCCGAAUGGGGAAACCCAGUGUGAUUCGUCACACUAUCAUUAACUGAAUCCAUAGGUUAAUGAGGCGAACCGGGGGAACUGAAACAUCUAAGUACCCCGAGGAAAAGAAAUCAACCGAGAUUCCCCCAGUAGCGGCGAGCGAACGGGGAGCAGCCCAGAGCCUGAAUCAGUGUGUGUGUUAGUGGAAGCGUCUGGAAAGGCGCGCGAUACAGGGUGACAGCCCCGUACACAAAAAUGCACAUGCUGUGAGCUCGAUGAGUAGGGCGGGACACGUGGUAUCCUGUCUGAAUAUGGGGGGACCAUCCUCCAAGGCUAAAUACUCCUGACUGACCGAUAGUGAACCAGUACCGUGAGGGAAAGGCGAAAAGAACCCCGGCGAGGGGAGUGAAAAAGAACCUGAAACCGUGUACGUACAAGCAGUGGGAGCACGCUUAGGCGUGUGACUGCGUACCUUUUGUAUAAUGGGUCAGCGACUUAUAUUCUGUAGCAAGGUUAACCGAAUAGGGGAGCCGAAGGGAAACCGAGUCUUAACUGGGCGUUAAGUUGCAGGGUAUAGACCCGAAACCCGGUGAUCUAGCCAUGGGCAGGUUGAAGGUUGGGUAACACUAACUGGAGGACCGAACCGACUAAUGUUGAAAAAUUAGCGGAUGACUUGUGGCUGGGGGUGAAAGGCCAAUCAAACCGGGAGAUAGCUGGUUCUCCCCGAAAGCUAUUUAGGUAGCGCCUCGUGAAUUCAUCUCCGGGGGUAGAGCACUGUUUCGGCAAGGGGGUCAUCCCGACUUACCAACCCGAUGCAAACUGCGAAUACCGGAGAAUGUUAUCACGGGAGACACACGGCGGGUGCUAACGUCCGUCGUGAAGAGGGAAACAACCCAGACCGCCAGCUAAGGUCCCAAAGUCAUGGUUAAGUGGGAAACGAUGUGGGAAGGCCCAGACAGCCAGGAUGUUGGCUUAGAAGCAGCCAUCAUUUAAAGAAAGCGUAAUAGCUCACUGGUCGAGUCGGCCUGCGCGGAAGAUGUAACGGGGCUAAACCAUGCACCGAAGCUGCGGCAGCGACGCUUAUGCGUUGUUGGGUAGGGGAGCGUUCUGUAAGCCUGUGAAGGUGUACUGUGAGGUAUGCUGGAGGUAUCAGAAGUGCGAAUGCUGACAUAAGUAACGAUAAAGCGGGUGAAAAGCCCGCUCGCCGGAAGACCAAGGGUUCCUGUCCAACGUUAAUCGGGGCAGGGUGAGUCGACCCCUAAGGCGAGGCCGAAAGGCGUAGUCGAUGGGAAACAGGUUAAUAUUCCUGUACUUGGUGUUACUGCGAAGGGGGGACGGAGAAGGCUAUGUUGGCCGGGCGACGGUUGUCCCGGUUUAAGCGUGUAGGCUGGUUUUCCAGGCAAAUCCGGAAAAUCAAGGCCGAGGCGUGAUGACGAGGCACUACGGUGCUGAAGCAACAAAUGCCCUGCUUCCAGGAAAAGCCUCUAAGCAUCAGGUAACAUCAAAUCGUACCCCAAACCGACACAGGUGGUCAGGUAGAGAAUACCAAGGCGCUUGAGAGAACUCGGGUGAAGGAACUAGGCAAAAUGGUGCCGUAACUUCGGGAGAAGGCACGCUGAUACGUAGGUGAAGCGACUUGCUCGUGGAGCUGAAAUCAGUCGAAGAUACCAGCUGGCUGCAACUGUUUAUUAAAAACACAGCACUGUGCAAACACGAAAGUGGACGUAUACGGUGUGACGCCUGCCCGGUGCCGGAAGGUUAAUUGAUGGGGUUAGCGCAAGCGAAGCUCUUGAUCGAAGCCCCGGUAAACGGCGGCCGUAACUAUAACGGUCCUAAGGUAGCGAAAUUCCUUGUCGGGUAAGUUCCGACCUGCACGAAUGGCGUAAUGAUGGCCAGGCUGUCUCCACCCGAGACUCAGUGAAAUUGAACUCGCUGUGAAGAUGCAGUGUACCCGCGGCAAGACGGAAAGACCCCGUGAACCUUUACUAUAGCUUGACACUGAACAUUGAGCCUUGAUGUGUAGGAUAGGUGGGAGGCUUUGAAGUGUGGACGCCAGUCUGCAUGGAGCCGACCUUGAAAUACCACCCUUUAAUGUUUGAUGUUCUAACGUGGACCCGUGAUCCGGGUUGCGGACAGUGUCUGGUGGGUAGUUUGACUGGGGCGGUCUCCUCCUAAAGAGUAACGGAGGAGCACGAAGGUUGGCUAAUCCUGGUCGGACAUCAGGAGGUUAGUGCAAUGGCAUAAGCCAGCUUGACUGCGAGCGUGACGGCGCGAGCAGGUGCGAAAGCAGGUCAUAGUGAUCCGGUGGUUCUGAAUGGAAGGGCCAUCGCUCAACGGAUAAAAGGUACUCCGGGGAUAACAGGCUGAUACCGCCCAAGAGUUCAUAUCGACGGCGGUGUUUGGCACCUCGAUGUCGGCUCAUCACAUCCUGGGGCUGAAGUAGGUCCCAAGGGUAUGGCUGUUCGCCAUUUAAAGUGGUACGCGAGCUGGGUUUAGAACGUCGUGAGACAGUUCGGUCCCUAUCUGCCGUGGGCGCUGGAGAACUGAGGGGGGCUGCUCCUAGUACGAGAGGACCGGAGUGGACGCAUCACUGGUGUUCGGGUUGUCAUGCCAAUGGCACUGCCCGGUAGCUAAAUGCGGAAGAGAUAAGUGCUGAAAGCAUCUAAGCACGAAACUUGCCCCGAGAUGAGUUCUCCCUGACCCUUUAAGGGUCCUGAAGGAACGUUGAAGACGACGACGUUGAUAGGCCGGGUGUGUAAGCGCAGCGAUGCGUUGAGCUAACCGGUACUAAUGAACCGUGAGGCUUAACC